UACGAAGGGGGCUAGCGUUGCUCGGAAUCACUGGGCGUAAAGCGCACGUAGGCGGAUUGUUAAGUCAGGGGUGAAAUCCUGGAGCUCAACUCCAGAACUGCCUUUGAUACUGGCGAUCUUGAGUCCGGGAGAGGUGAGUGGAACUGCGAGUGUAGAGGUGAAAUUCGUAGAUAUUCGCAAGAACACCAGUGGCGAAGGCGGCUCACUGGUCCGGUACUGACGCUGAGGUGCGAAAGCGUGGGGAGCAACAGG
rnacentral:rRNA from 1 species